UAUAAACAUAUAUAAGUUUCUCAUACAAUCUGAUUAGUAUAUUUUAGAGGAGAAUGGGAGUGGAAAACUCUCAGCAAAUACUACAGACCUUUGAUGUGGCAAGAACUUAACAUGGUCGUGUCCGAAAGCAUGAGAAACUUCACGCCUCUUGAAACAGAUGAUAAGAAUUGCAUCUGAAUAGGAAAAGAGGAACCACACUCUGUCCUUAUCUUCACUGACCCUGAGAAAGACCAACUGGGACAAGGAUUUGAACCAGGAUGUUUGAUGACCCAGGCAAAUAGCUCAGGGCAGCUGGCUUCUUCAAAGAGCUUAUUUCUGUCCUUU
rnacentral:lncRNA from 12 species